rnacentral:rRNA from 1 species
UACAGAGGGUGCAAGCGUUAAUCGGAAUUACUGGGCGUAAAGCGCACGUAGGCGGUUUUUUAAGUCAGAUGUGAAAGCCCCGGGCUCAACCUGGGAAUUGCAUUUGAAACUGGGGAACUAGAGUGUGUGAGAGGGGGGUAGAAUUCCAAGUGUAGCGGUGAAAUGCGUAGAGAUUUGGAGGAAUACCAGUGGCGAAGGCGGCCCCCUGGCACAACACUGACGCUCAGGUGCGAAAGCGUGGGGAGCGAACAGG